GAUUUUAGUUGUAUCUGUUUUUCUGUCUUUAUUUUUGCAGUGUUACUGUGAUACAUGUAUGAAUUAUAAUUUUAUAAUUAUAAUGCUAGUAACGUAAUAGUCGCAUCUACUGGUAUGUUAACAUCAGGCACCCAGCACUGACUCUGUUGGUACUAUUUUCCACGCAAAAAUUCCUUGGCAUUUUGACUUACAGACACCGCUACUAGCAUACAACACAAUGCACGUCUCUUCUUUCUGCCCCUCGGUUGCGCGCGCAACCAGUUAGUGACGUCGCCGUGCAACCCGUCUAUUUCAGCAAGUCCAGAUUUACUGCUGAGAAUGACGACAUUGUUUCUGCCCGUAAGACGUGUUAUGAGUCGGUACGCCGGAGUUUCAGAUACAAACAACCUGAACUCGCAUCGCAGGCGGAAAAUGCGAAAAGUUUAGCUCGGAGUCGAUCCAGAAGAAAAAUGUUGCUGGAAGCGAGACGAAGUGUGUUGGCUGAGGAUGAGAUGGACAUUUGGAAGUGCGCCACCAUAGAUCUCAUAUCUGAUGAGGAAUACGGCAUUGUUGGCGGGGUGUCUGGAUGGAUUGUGCGGCCACCGCCCUCUCGCAGCCUGGAACUCUCCGAGCUCUGUGCCACGCUGCAAUCCAGAUUAGAGGCGAUACCAAAGUACCGGGCAACUCACCAUAUACGCGUGAAAAAAUGACUUUUUUACAACG